rnacentral:rRNA from 1 species
AGCUCCAAUAGCGUAUAUUAAAGUUGUUGCAGUUAAAAAGCUCGUAGUUGGAUUUCGGGAUGGGCCAGUCGGUCUGCCGCAAGGUAAGUUACUGGCUGGUCUGUCCUUCUUCGCAAAGACUGCGCGUGCCCUUAACUGAGUGUGCGUAGGAUUUGCGACGUUUACUUUGAAAAAAUUAGAGUGUUCAAAGCAGGCUAACCGCUUGAAUACAUGAGCAUGGAAUAGGACUUUGGUUCUAUUUUGUUGGUUUCUGGAACCGAAGUAAUGAUUAAGAGGGACAGUUGGGGGCAUUCGUAUUUCGUUGUCAGAGGUGAAAUUCUUGGAUUUACGAAAGACAAACUACUGCGAAAGCAUUUACCAAGGAUGUUUUCA